UACGUAGGGUGCAAGCGUUGCUCGGAAUCACUGGGCGUAAAGCGCACGUAGGCGGAUCGUUAAGUCGGGGGUGAAAUCCUGGAGCUCAACUCCAGAACUGCCUUCGAUACUGGCGAUCUUGAGUCCGGAAGAGGUGAGUGGAACUCCUAGUGUAGAGGUGGAAUUCGUAGAUAUUAGGAAGAACACCAGUGGCGAAGGCGGCUCACUGGUCCGGUACUGACGCUGAGGUGCGAAAGCGUGGGGAGCAAACAGG
rnacentral:rRNA from 1 species